CCUACGGGGGGCAGCAGUAGGGAAUUUUCGUCAAUGGGCGCAAGCCUGAACGAGCAAUGCCGCGUGAACGAGGAAGGUCUUCGGAUCGUAAAGUUCUGUUGAAGGGGAAAAAGAGCGGAGAGAGGAAAUGGUCUCCGAUUGAUAUUACCCUUCGAGGAAGUCACGGCUAACUACGUGCCAGCAGCCGCGGUAAUACGUAGGUGGCGAGCGUUAUCCGGAAUGAUUGGGCGUAAAGGGUGCGUAGGCGGCCUGCUAAGUCUGGAGUGAAAGGUACCGGCUCAACCGGUACAGGCUCUGGAAACUGGCGGGCUAGAGAGCAGGAGAGGGCGGUGGAACUCCAUGUGUAGCGGUAAAAUGCGUAGAUAUAUGGAAGAACACCAGUGGCGAAGGCGGUCUGCUGGACAGCAACUGACGGUGAGGCGCGAAAGCGUGGGGAGCAAACAGGAUUAGAUACCCUAGUAGUC
rnacentral:rRNA from 1 species